rnacentral:lncRNA from 13 species
AGCUCGUAUACCUUUUCCUUAGCAUUUUAAUGUCGAUGGUGUGGGAGCAUAUGUUUCAGAAGCUGAAAGAAACUUAAGCCCUUCUGUAGGAUACUGGCUCAGUCACCACACACACAGCUUCAGUCGAAGGUGAAAAGUGUUCGGGGAGCUGUGGAGAGACACCGAGCUGUCUCUAGGAUAGCCAUGCAGCCGGCCCCUCUCCAGACCUUCCUGCUAACAAAGUAAAAAACAAAUCUCAAUUUUAGGAACCAAUGAAAAAUGUAAUUCAUUCUACAGCUGACUUGGCUUGACCAUUCCUCUCAUAGAAUGUGAAAGAAGAGCCGGAAAGUAAGUGUUAUUAAGAGACUAGUUUUUCAAAUAAUAGAAUCAAAGAAGUACAAAUGCAUUUAGGC